rnacentral:rRNA from 1 species
CAUUNCGACANAGCCANGCANGUCUAAGUACAUGGCCGUAUUAAGGCGAAACCGCGAAUGGCUCAUUAAAUCAGUUAUGGCUUCCUUGGAUCGUACCUUACUACUUGGAUAACUGUGGUAAUUCUAGAGCUAAUACAUGCAGCAGAGCUCCGACCUUCGGGGACGAGCGCUUUUAUUAGACCAAAACCAAUCGGACUUUGUCCGUCUCUUGUGGUGACUCUGAAUAACUUUGGGCUGAUCGCACAGGCCCGUCCUGGCGACGUAUCUUUCAAGUGUCUGCCUUAUCAACUUUCGAUGGUAGGUUACGCGCCUACCAUGGUCGUAACGGGUAACGGGGAAUCAGGGUUCGAUUCCGGAGAGGGAGCCUGAGAAACGGCUACCACAUCCAAGGAAGGCAGCAGGCGCGCAAAUUACCCACUCCCAGAACGGGGAGGUAGUGACGAAAAAUAACAAUACGGGACUCUUUUGAGACCCCGUAAUUGGAAUGAGUACACUCUAAAUCCUUUAACGAGGAUCCAUUGGAGGGCAAGUCUGGUGCCAGCCGCCGCGGUAACUCCAGCUCCAAUAGCGUAUAUUAAAGUUGUUGCGGUUAAAAAGCUCGUAGUUGGAUCUCAGUUCCAGACGGGUGGUCCGCCUACCGGUGGUUACUGCCUGUUCUGAACAGCCAGCCGGUUUCUCUUGAUGAUCUUCACCGGUUGUCUUGGGUGACCGGCAAGUUUACUUUGAAAAAAUUAGAGUGCUCAAAGCAGGCGCGACGCCUGAAUAAUGGUGCAUGGAAUAAUGGAAUAGGACCUCGGUUCUAUUUUGUUGGUUUUCGGAACACGAGGUAAUGAUUAAGAGGGACAGACGGGGGCAUUCGUAUUGCGACGCUAGAGGUGAAAUUCUUGGACCGUCGCAGGACGAACUACUGCGAGANUUUUUNUUUNNGGNAAAAAA